AUCGCUUCUCGGCCUUUUGGCUAAGAUCAAAGUGUAGUAUCUGUUCUUAUUAGCUUGAUAUCUAAUACGAAGUCUAUAUGACUUCUAGCAUAUCGAACUGAUUUUUGAAACUCGGCAUGGCGCCUGGGGCUUGCUCCGGCCUUGCCACGGGUCUUCUCUGCAUUGCAGUACCGCAGAGUUAGGCCCAAUAAUC
rnacentral:snRNA from 1 species